AGGUCACCAUGGAGGAAAAGGCAAAUUGUGCCACGUCAGCACUUAUCCUACCACUUUCCCGUAAUCUGUAAAAAAUACUCAAAGAUGGCAAUGUCCAAUAUUCACAAAGCCCAACUACUCAGAACUCUCUUCCUGCCUUUCCCCUGCACUGUUCACGAUCUCUGAAAUCUUCCUACACUACGGUUUCAGAUCUGUAACACUUUACCUUGACGAUGAGAGUUUGUCUUUUUUUCUCACCAUUGAUUGGUCCUUCAAUAUUUCCCACUACAGUUUAUUCAAUUGCCUCCUUCUCAAAAGUCCAGAUGAAAACCCUAAAAAAAAAAUUCUAUAAAUAACGUCUUAGAAAUCUUCAGAUCAAGUUGUUUCAACAGAAUAUCAUCUCCUUCUUACAACGUAACCUGCAUCAAUGGUGGCUUACCAGACCUUUUUCUAAUGUUAGCACUGGUCGUUGUUCCGAUACGGUCGUCACGAUUAUGGGAAACCCCAAAGGGAGGAGAGCUGAUGGGAGUGGACAUGCUCCUUCUUGAUGAAAAGGUAUGGUCAAUCAUCAGGGAAGCCCAGCGAACAAAAUACUUAUGCUGAUAUCGAAGCUGCUUACAAAUGUCUGGAAGAGAACUAUGGAGCAAAGCAGGAGAACAUUAUCCUCUAUCAAUCUAUCGGUAGUGGUUCGACCGUCGAUUUAGCUGCACGUUUGCCUCGGAGUGCAGGAGAUUUAUAUUAGCAGUGUAGUAUAACAAAAACUAGACUGAAUAAAAUAUUAAACAAGAAUAAUUUACAUUA